rnacentral:rRNA from 1 species
AACGAACGCUGGCGGCAUGCCUAACACAUGCAAGUCGAACGAGAUCUUCGGGUCUAGUGGCGCACGGGUGCGUAACGCGUGGGAAUCUGCCCUUUGGUUCGGAAUAACAGUUGGAAACGACUGCUAAUACCGGAUGAUGACGAAAGUCCAAAGAUUUAUCGCCAGAGGAUGAGCCCGCGUAGGAUUAGCUAGUUGGUGUGGUAAAGGCGCACCAAGGCGACGAUCCUUAGCUGGUCUGAGAGGAUGAUCAGCCACACUGGGACUGAGACACGGCCCAGACUCCUACGGGAGGCAGCAGUGGGGAAUAUUGGACAAUGGGCGAAAGCCUGAUCCAGCAAUGCCGCGUGAGUGAUGAAGGCCUUAGGGUUGUAAAGCUCUUUUACCCGGGGUGAUAAUGACAGUACCGGGAGAAUAAGCUCAGGCUAACUCCGUGCCAGCAGCCGCGGUAAAAC